rnacentral:rRNA from 1 species
UACGUAGGGGGCAAGCGUUGUCCGGAUUUACUGGGCGUAAAGAGCGUGUAGGCGGCCAGGUAGGUCCGUUGUGAAAACUCGAGGCUCAACCUCGAGACGUCGAUGGAAACCAUCUGGCUAGAGUCCGGAAGAGGAGAGUGGAAUUCCUGGUGUAGCGGUGAAAUGCGCAGAUAUCAGGAAGAACACCUAUGGCGAAGGCAGCUCUCUGGGACGGUACUGACGCUGAGACGCGAAAGCGUGGGGAGCGAACAGG